rnacentral:rRNA from 1 species
GUGGGGAAUCUUCCGCAAUGGACGAAAGUCUGACGGAGCGACGCCGCGUGAGUGAAGAAGGCCUUCGGGUCGUAAAGCUCUGUCAUCAGGGACGAACGGCCGGUGGAGUGGAAAGCCACCGGAUUGACGGUACCUGAGAAGGAAGCCACGGCUAACUACGUGCCAGCAGCCGCGGUAAUACGUAGGUGGCAAGCGUUGUCCGGAAUUAUUGGGCGUAAAGCGCGCGCAGGUGGGAUCUUAAGUCCAUUUUUAAAGUUCGGAGCUCAACUCCGUGAUGGGAUGGAAACUGGGAUUCUUGAGUACCGGAGAGGAAAGCGGAAUUCCCCGUGUAGCGGUGAAAUGCGUAGAUAUGGGGAGGAACACCAGUGGCGAAGGCGGCUUUCUGGACGGUGUCUGACACUGAGGCGCGAAAGCCAGGGGAGCGAACGGGAUUAGAAACCCGUGUAGUCC